UACGAAGGGGGCUAGCGUUGCUCGGAAUCACUGGGCGUAAAGCGCACGUAGGCGGAUUGCUAAGUCAGGGGUGAAAUCCUGGAGCUCAACUCCAGAACUGCCUUUGAUACUGGCGAGCUUGAGUCCGGGAGAGGUGAGUGGAACUCCGAGUGUAGAGGUGAAAUUCGUAGAUAUUCGGAAGAACACCAGUGGCGAAGGCGGCUCACUGGCCCGGUACUGACGCUGAGGUGCGAAAGCGUGGGGAGCAAACAGG
rnacentral:rRNA from 1 species